AGCUUGCUCUCUUGGCGGCGAGUGGCGGACGGGUGAGUAAUAUAUCGGAACGUGCCCAGUAGCGGGGGAUAACUACUCGAAAGAGUGGCUAAUACCGCAUACGCCCUACGGGGGAAAGGGGGGGAUCGCAAGACCUCUCACUAUUGGAGCGGCCGAUAUCGGAUUAGCUAGUUGGUGGGGUAAAGGCUCACCAAGGCAACGAUCCGUAGCUGGUUUGAGAGGACGACCAGCCACACUGGGACUGAGACACGGCCCAGACUCCUACGGGAGGCAGCAGUGGGGAAUUUUGGACAAUGGGGGAAACCCUGAUCCAGCCAUCCCGCGUGUAUGAUGAAGGCCUUCGGGUUGUAAAGUACUUUUGGCAGAGAAGAAAAGGUAUCCCCUAAUACGGGAUACUGCUGACGGUAUCUGCAGAAUAAGCACCGGCUAACUACGUGCCAGCAGCCGCGGUAAUACGUAGGGUGCAAGCGUUAAUCGGAAUUACUGGGCGUAGAGCGUGUGUAGGCGGUUCGGAAAGAAAGAUGUGAAAUCCCAGGGCUCAACCUUGGAACUGCAUUUUUAACUGCCGAGCUAGAGUAUGUCAGAGGGGGGUAGAAUUCCACGUGUAGCAGUGAAAUGCG
rnacentral:rRNA from 1 species